rnacentral:rRNA from 1 species
UCCUACCGAGCUGGGUGAUAGCUGGUUGCCAGCGAAACGAAUUUAAGUUCUCCCUUAACCCCUCCUCCAGGGCAACAAAUCCAAACCUCCAUGCAGUGGAUUAAGAGCUACCUAAAGGGGGUACAGCCCCUUUAAAAAAGGAUACACCCUCCAUUAGCGGAUAACCCCCACCCACCUACAACCUGUGGGCCUUAAAGCAGCCACCCCAAAAGAAUGCGUCAAAGCUCCAAACCAAAAAUUCAGAAACAACACGACUCCCUAUAUCUUUAGCCGGCUAACCUAUAACAAUAGAUGAAUCAAUGCUAGAACGAGUAACCAGGACACCCUCCCCUCAAGCGCUAGCGUAUAUACCAUUAACAGCCUAACAUCAAUGUUCAAUCCCCACAAGACCAAACAUUGAACAUACCCUGUUAACCCAACCCAGGAGCGCACACUAGGAUGAUUAAAAUCUACAAAAGGAACUCGGCAAACCCAGGGCCCGACUGUUUACCAAAAACAUAGCCUUCAGCCAAACAAGUAUUGAAGGUGAUGCCUGCCCAGUGACAUCACCAUGUUUAACGGCCGCGGUAUCCUAACCGUGCAAAGGUAGCGCAAUCAAUUGUCCCAUAAAUCGAGACUUGUAUGAAUGGCUAAACGAGGUCCUAACUGUCUCCUGUAGACAAUCAGUGAAACUGAUCCCCCCGUGCAAAAGCGGGGAUAAGCACACAAGACGAGAAGACCCUGUGGAACUUCAAAAUCAAUAGCCACUACACCCAACCCAAAACCUAUCAGGCCCACUACUCAAAAAACUGGCUAACAUUUUUAGAUUGGGGCGAUCUUGGAGAAAAACAAACCCUCCAAAAAUAGGACCAACACCCCUAGUCAAGAACAACCAUUCAACACGCUAACAGCACCCAGACCCAAUAAAAUUGACCAAUGAACCAAGCUACCCCAGGGAUAACAGCGCAAUCUCCCCCAAGAGCCCCUAUCGACGAGGAGGUUUACGACCUCGAUGUUGGAUCAGGACAUCCUAGUGGUGUAGCCGCUACCAAGGGUUCGUUUGUUCAACGAUUAACAGUCCUACGUGAUCU